ensembl:lncRNA PVT1 Pvt1 oncogene
AGGGCUGGGCGAAGGUGAUUUCCAAAAACUCAGUAACUCCGUGUUUUGAGACUUUCUCAGUUUUUGCAUCGCAUGUGAGGGUUUGUUGGGUGCUCCUAAACCCUCAUCAUGGUCAUUCUUCUUGGCUGGGCUGUUGAUUUAAUUAGGUUUGCCUUCUCUUGCUAACGUGCUCUUAUUUAUGCCAGUGUUUGUGGUUCUGGGUGUAGACUUUCAGGAAGCACAGCCAUGAAGCUGCAUGCGUCUGUGUGUGGAUGCCUCAUGCCUUUUCCUGGUGGUUUGCAGGCAUGGAAGAUUCUUCUGUUCAUCUAAGCUCCUGACUUUAGGCCCUUCUAGAACAUUAGAGAGGAGAAGAAAUCACGUGCAAGGAUUUAGGGACAAGAGGAUGAGGUUUUGGUGUUUCCUUUCUGGUAUUAGGUUUUCCAGAGAGAGGCUGUUAGCCUGUCUCUCGCCCACUCCACCACUGUGAAUCCUGGCUACUGGGGCUAGUUCCUUGCUAGGAAAAAAAAACUCUAGAGAAAUGUGUUUGUGUGUGGUGGGUGGGCGGGGGCCCUGAGGAUGCAGGGACUGUGUCUGCUGUGUUGUCUGUUAUAAGAUGUUUCAGACCUAUUUUGCAUACUGGCAGCGACAAGUUGAGACUUGUUCAACUUGACACAGUCCUGUGGUCAUAGCGAAUCUUUCUAAAGCUCUGAUCAGUCAAGAAGGGGGUUGUAUCAAUCCUCAGAACCCUGAGUGGAACUUUCUACAGGAUUUAUUAGGAGAAAAACCUUCCCGGAAGCUGCAGAAGGACAAAUACAGAAUCCGUGUCUGGGAGAAACCUCGUGGCCUGGUCUCCAUUAUUUGAGAUGAGUUACAUCUUGGAGGCCUGAUCUUUUGGCCAGAAGGAGAUUAAAAAGAUGCCCCUCAAGAUGGCUGUGCCUGUCAGCUGCAUGGAGCUUCGUUCAAGUAUUUUCUGAGCCUGAUGGAUUUACAGUGAUCUUCAGUGGUCUGGGGAAUAACGCUGGUGGAACCAUGCACUGGAAUGACACACGCCCGGCACAUUUCAGGAUACUAAAAGUGGUUUUAAGGGAGGCUGUGGCUGAAUGCCUCAUGGAUUCUUACAGCUUGGAUGUCCAUGGGGGACGAAGGACUGCAGCUGGCUGAGAGGGUUGAGAUCUCUGUUUACUUAGAUCUCUGCCAACUUCCUUUGGGUCUCCCUAUGGAAUGUAAGACCCCGACUCUUCCUGGUGAAGCAUCUGAUGCACGUUCCAUCCGGCGCUCAGCUGGGCUUGAGGACUUCGCAGGUGAGCAGUAACGGAAAUCAGCCCCGUUUAUUCCUCCCAGCACCUGCCUUAUCCAACUCCCCACGCUGUGGCUGAGUCCCAGCCUGCUAUGGAAGCAUCACUGGACUCCCAUUGAACUCUGUGCAGAUUCGCUGUUCGUAGACAUGGUACCUGAUGGACACCAAGCUACGUACAGCUUCAAGGCCCCUUCUUUCUUUGCUAAUAAAAAAUAAAAAAUAAAAACAUAAUACACGUUA